GUGUCACUCAUCCCUUGUCUCUCAGUCUCAUAGCGGGUGUAGCCAUUGUCACUAUUCUGAUUGCCUGCUUCAUAGCUUUCACCAGCUAGUUUGUAGCCAUUAUUGUAGUACUUGUUGGUGUAGCCUUUGUUGUUGUAGUUGUUUGUGUUGCCAUUGUUGCUGUAACCAUUCUCACUGUUCUGAUUGCCUGCUUCCUGGCUUUCACCAGCUAGUUUGUAGCCAUUAUUGUAGUACUUGUUGGUGUAGCCUUCGUUGUUGUAGUUGUUUGUGUUGCCAUUGUUGUUGUAGGUGUUGGUGUAGCCAUUCUCACUAUUCUGGUUGCCUACUUCAUAGCUUUCACCAGGCAGCUUGUAGCCAUUAUUGUAGUACUUGUUGGUGUAGCCGUUGUUGUUGUAGUUGUUGCUGUAGCCAUUCUCACUUUUCUGACUGCCUGCUUCAUAGCUUUCACCAGCUAGUUUGUGGCCAUUAUUGUGGUACUUUUUGGUGUAGCCAUUGUUGUUGUAGUUGUUUGUGUUGCCAUUGUUGUUGUAGCCAUUCUCAGUAUUUUGAUUGCCUGCUUCAUAGCUUUCACCAGCUAGUUUGUAGCCAUUAUUGUAGUACUUGUUGGUGUAGCCGUUGUUGUUUUGAUUACCUGUCUCAUAUCUAGCACUACCAAGUUUGUAGCCAUUGUUGUUGUUCUUGUUGUUGUAGUUGCUCCUCUCGUAACCAUUAUU
rnacentral:lncRNA from 1 species